ACGUAACUGGUAUCCGUGUGCGGCUAUAUCUAUUAUUGUUUCGAUUAGUUUAAAUAUUGCGAGUAUUCCAAAUAUUGCUGCACUGACAGUUCCAAAUUCCAUAAAACCAGUCCAUAAGCUUGAUACGGUAUUUUUCGCUAUUGUCGUUAAUGUGUUUUGUCCAUCAUUCCCAGGAUGUUUACUGUUCCAGGGACGAUUGUUUUUCCUGUUGCUCCUCUGGCCAAUGCGUUCAAGACUGCAGAUUUUCUGCCGGGAACAUGACGUGGUCCCGUAGUGUAUCGAGGUCUUUUGGGUAUAUAUUCCGCUCGUGGCCAACGACGAUGGUGCUGAAUAUCGCCACGUUUGGCGCACGUCCGGGCGGAGUUCCUGUGGUGCGAUUCCUUUGCCAAACGGGUAGUUCCGAGUAGCAUUUUGUUGUAUGUCGUACCUUUACUUGUACCGGAAUGCAUUUGACUAUCUGGAUCGCUUCUCCUGCGAUCAGAGCCAUGUGUCCUGGGUUUUGGUUAUGGUGUAUGCAAAUUCGUCGGGCGGUUUUACGUACUUGUUAUCAGUGAAAAUAAAUAUUAUGAAUACUACUUGGAUUGUAAUUAUAUACAUGUCGGAGAUGAAAGGAAAGCCGAAGCCUUUCCUUGGAAAUUUUGGGAACAUCCUCUAGUACCUUAGCCUAGAUUUUAUUAUAGUUGUAAUUGCUUAAGAUUUGUAAUAAGCGAGAUUGGGUUCGAGGUGACAAUCGGUCGCUGAACGUAGCCACGGUCACGGGAUGGAUGUUUUAUCUAACGGAGGUCUGGAGUGGUUGUAUGUGUUUUCCGAGAAAUGUGGUUGUGGCGGCAUGCGGCCUCGAGAGCGGGCCCAGCCACGUGUGAUGUUGCCUCGGAGGUGCCGAUGCAAUGGGACAUACAUUGUAUUAGUAAUCAAAACUCCAGGCAGAAACUGCCUAGCAACGGCGUUUGGAACUUUCUCGAUGCUUCCAACGAGUGUGCCUAGCAACGGCGUUUGGAACCUUCUCGAUGCUUCCAAACGGGUAUAGAAAACAAAAUGCAAUCGUACAGGGAGAAAAAUCUCCACGAGGCUGGCAUUCUUGCGAUUGCCUUGGAGAGUGAUACAUCGAGCAUUUUCGACGAUCGCAUUUGCGUCUAAGUUAGUUUCGCUUAGUAAGGAGUUAUCCCGGUGACCGUGGAUUCGUUUGAACUCAAACAUUGCUAAUAGUAUUAUUUAAUUUAAUUAUUCGUAGAUCGUAUUAUUCAUUAGGCUUAGUGUUUGUUAGACUUAUUAUUAGUUGUACUUAUUAUUUGUUAAGCUUAGUGAUAGACCUGUAUAUACGUGUAAAUAAAAUCUCGGCUUUGUGAAACGAUGGCUAGUCCACACGAAGAGUCGUCGCGCGCCCAAAAUUCGAAUCGUGAUCCGACAUACAUAUAUGCGUACGUAUUGGUGGAUAGCAUCAGUAUUUGGUUUCGUGAGUGGCGUACAAAUACUUUACAGUUCCACUGUGUGGAUUGCUAUUCAUGUUGUUCCAUCCGUCGUUCAGAAAAUGGUUGAUGAGUUCGCCAUCAGUUCUGUACACACAUAUAAAAAUAGUUAAUGUAUAUAUGUAGUAUCGUGAGUGAGAGGCCUGGGA